UACGGAGGGUGCAAGCGUUAUCCGGAAUCAUUGGGUUUAAAGGGUCCGCAGGCGGUUCUAUAAGUCAGUGGUGAAAUCUCUGAGCUUAACUCAGAAACUGCCAUUGAUACUAUGUUUCUUGAAUUUUCUGGAGGUCAGCGGAAUAUGUCAUGUAGCGGUGAAAUGCUUAGAUAUGACAUAGAACACCAAUUGCGAAGGCAGCUGGCUACAGGGAUAUUGACACUGAGGCACGAAAGCGUGGGGAUCAAACAGG
rnacentral:rRNA from 1 species